rnacentral:ncRNA from 1 species
GUGGUCGUAAAAAGGAGAGCUAGUUUGCAUCUUCAUAUACAAGGAUGGAAUCAACCUUCUUAGGAUUGGACUAGCUGGCUGGGCGGCCAAGAUUGAUUAUCACUCUUU